rnacentral:rRNA from 1 species
ACCAACGCGUUUUAUGCUUAGUUGGUUGUGGAGCACAUCAAAAUUCCACAAUUAAGCUUGCUCAUGUGAGAGUAGUAUCAGGAUGGGUGACUUCCUAGAAAGUCUCCACCGUUCGUAAGUU